ensembl:lncRNA
UGUCCUUUUUGUACUGGUGUCCCAGCACUGGAUCCAGAUCUCCAGGUGUGACCUCCCCAGUACUGAGCAGAGAGGAAGAAUUGUCUCUCUUGACCUACUGGUGACACUUUACCUCGUGCAGCUUUGCUGCUGCGUAUUCUACCACUUGCUACAGAAGAAGACUGUUCAGUGCAGAGAUGCUGUAGAACAGGAGCCCAACCUGCUUCAUUUUUUUUUCCAGUUUGCAGCCUUUGUUCAAAAUCCCAACAGCAAGUCAGGAGGCACUAGAGACCAUCACUGAUACAGAGCGCCAGGAAUAUUCCCAAGUGCUGGAACUCAGUCC